rnacentral:rRNA from 1 species
AACGCCGCGUGGGUGAAGAAGUUUUUCGGAACGUAAAGCCCUGUCAUGAGGGAAGAAUGUCUUGAUGUUUAAGAGAUGUCGAGAGUGACGGUACCUUAUAAGAAAGCUCCGGCUAACUACGUGCCAGCCACCUCGGUGACUGAGCGGGCUGGCAAGGCGCAUA